CAAAUGGACGACUAGGGUUCCGGUCCGCAUCGAAUCGACAAAAGCAUUCGGUGCGCGACGCUGGUCCGAGAGUUGUCGACCUCGAACGAGGUUACACGGCGGGAUAAAAGCCCGGGAGAG
rnacentral:sRNA from 1 species